rnacentral:rRNA from 1 species
UACGUAGGGUGCGAGCGUUAAUCGGAAUUACUGGGCGUAAAGUGUGCGCAGGCGGCCGCGCAAGUCGAGUGUGAAAGCCCCGAGCUUAACUUGGGAAUUGCAUUCGAGACUGCGUAGCUAGGGUACGGUAGAGGGAAGCGGAAUUUCCGGUGUAGCGGUGAAAUGCGUAGAUAUCUGGAGGAACACCGGUGGCGAAGGCGGCAUCCUGGACCAAUUCUGACGCUGAGGAGCGAAAGCCAGGGGAGCAAACGGG